rnacentral:rRNA from 1 species
AUUGAACGCUGGCGGCAUGCCUUACACAUGCAAGUCGAACGGUAACAGGUCUUCGGAUGCUGACGAGUGGCGAACGGGUGAGUAAUACAUCGGAACGUGCCCGAGAGUGGGGGAUAACGAAGCGAAAGCUUUGCUAAUACCGCAUACGAUCUCAGGAUGAAAGCAGGGGACCGCAAGGCCUUGCGCUCACGGAGCGGCCGAUGGCAGAUUAGGUAGUUGGUGGGAUAAAAGCUUACCAAGCCGACGAUCUGUAGCUGGUCUGAGAGGACGACCAGCCACACUGGGACUGAGACACGGCCCAGACUCCUACGGGAGGCAGCAGUGGGGAAUUUUGGACAAUGGGCGCAAGCCUGAUCCAGCCAUGCCGCGUGCAGGAUGAAGGCCUUCGGGUUGUAAACUGCUUUUGUACGGAACGAAAAGACUCUGGUUAAUACCUGGGGUUCAUGACGGUACCGUAAGAAUAAGCACCGGCUAACUACGUGCCAGCCGCCGCGGUAA